GACGAACGCUGGCGGCGUGCUUAACACAUGCGAGUCGAACGGAAAGGCCCUGCUUUUGUGGGGUGCUCGAGUGGCGAACGGGUGAGUAACACGUGAGUAACCUGCCCUUGACUUUGGGAUAACUUCAGGAAACUGGGGCUAAUACCGGAUAAGAGCUCCUGCUGCAUGGUGGGGGUUGGAAAGUUUCGGCGGUUGGGGAUGGACUCGCGGCUUAUCAGCUUGUUGGUGGGGUAGUGGCUUACCAAGGCUUUGACGGGUAGCCGGCCUGAGAGGGUGACCGGCCACAUUGGGACUGAGAUACGGCCCAGACUCCUACGGGAGGCAGCAGUGGGGAAUAUUGCACAAUGGGCGGAAGCCUGAUGCAGCAACGCCGCGUGCGGGAUGACGGCCUUCGGGUUGUAAACCGCUUUCGCCUGUGACGAAGCGUGAGUGACGGUAAUGGGUAAAGAAGCACCGGCUAACUACGUG
rnacentral:rRNA from 1 species